AAAACCGACAGUUUAUUCUAUUAAUGUAUACGUAAUAUAAAAACAUUAUUUAUUGAAUGAAAAUGUUUUAAAAUAACCAUAUCAUUUUUGCAAAAAAAUUUAAGUGAUUUUGUCGUUAUGGCUGUUUGGAACACCAUAAUCCUCAC